CUGCUUGGAUGCCCCUUUGCUCCGGAAUGUUGGAUUCAUAUAGACCUCUUCCCUAACUUGUCUGAUGAACCAUGUGAAAUUCUAAAUAGCUUCAGAAUUCAGCUACAAGUUUUUUUAUGGAAAUUAUCAUUAUCAUAAGUUGGGGCAUUUGGAUGGUUAGAAAUGACUGGAUAUUCAAAGGGAUCACCCCUUCAGUACAAGACUGCUUGUUUCACUUCAAAUCAAUUUUUACUUAGGUUAUUCUUAGAGUAAAAGAGGACUGUAAACCUAUUAUGUCUUCAUAGCUAGAGCAGACAUUGUAAUCUUUUUGAUCUUCUUUUGUUCUUUCUUUGUUUCUUGAUUUGGAUUUGUAAUCUUUCCCUACUUUUUUUUCAAUAUAUAAUAUAUAACCAGCAGGGAACCUCCCCCACCUGUGUCAUAAAAAAAAACAAACAAAAAACAGCAAUUCACCUCUACAAUCACUUUUCAUUUGGUAAACAACUUACAGAUGUUCCAUUUGCACCUCUUAUACCUCUUACCAGUAAGGUGAACUUACUCUUAGUCUUU
rnacentral:lncRNA from 1 species